rnacentral:lncRNA from 1 species
GCAUUCUGGCGGUGCCGGGAGCGGGGCGAGGAGGAGGGUGGGUAUGAGGCGGUAGCGGACCGCGGAGUCGAGACCUACCCGAACGACGCGGGCGAGCGGGGCUUUGGACGCCGGUGGAGACGCAGGCGAGACUCCAGCGGGAGGAAGAAGAGGCCUUUGCCAGCAGUCAGAGCAGCCAAGGGGCCCAAUCCCUCACAUUCUCCAAGUUUGAAGGAAAGAAAACCAACAAGAAGACCCGCAAGGUUACCACAGUGAAGAAAUCUUCAGUACGUCUUCCAGGGUCGGAUCAAAGAUAUUGAAAUGGAUUCCAGGCGUGUGCCUCGAGACAAGCUGGCCUGCAUCACCAAGUGCAGCAAGCACAUCUUCGAUGCCAUCAAGAUCACCUAGAACGAGCUGGCGUCAGCAGAUGACUUCCUCCCCACCCUCAUCUACAUUGUUUUGAAGGGCAACCCCCAUGCCUUCAGUCUAAUAUCCAGUAUAUCACGUGCUUCUGCAAUCCAAGCCGACUGAUGACUGGAGAGGAUGGCUACUAUUUCACCAAUCUGGUGAGUAAGUGAGUUCUUGGCGUUGUGGAGAAGGACUAGGAAGGUGGUGGUUUUGGGGAUGUGAUAGGUCACUCAGGCCCAUGACAGGUGAAUGCUUCUGUGUGAGAAGGCAGCACGGCUGAGGAAGCUCACUUUGCAUCAGGGAGCACAAGGACCAGGCCGUACAGACACUCCGCCUCCCCGCACUUGAUCAGAGAUUGUGUUUAUCCUACAGAAACAGAUGACAUGUGUUGGGCAUCACUCCCCACGGUCCUGGGUAGAAGAGUCCUUCACUUGGCAGGGCUUUUUCAACCAAUGAAUAAGGCAAAUUAUAUAUAAGUUAAUAAUGCCAUUUCGAACCGAGACAGAUGGCAGCUAAAUGAAGUUUAAUUAAAGAAUGAGCGCUGGGGCCCUUUUUAUUGGGUACUGCAUCUACUUCGACCACAAAAGACGAAGUGACCCCAACUUCAAGAACAGGCUUUGAGAUGGAAGAAAGAAACAGAAGCUUGCCAAGGAGAGAGCUGGGCUUUCCAAGUUACCUGACCUUAAAGAUGCUGAAGCUGUUCAGAAGUUCUUCCUUGAAGAAAUACAGCUUGGUGAAGAGUUACUAGCUCAAGGUGAAUAUGAGAAGGGCGUAGACCAUCUGACAAACGGAAUUGCUGUGUGUGGACAGCCACAGCAGUUACUGCAGGCCUUACAGCAAACUCUUCCACCACUAGUGUUCCAGAUGCUUUUGACUAAGCUCCCAACAAUUAGAGAAUUCUAAGUGCUCAGAGCUUGGCUGAAGAUGAUGUGGAAUGA